UUCACACUUACAGUUCGUCGCCUUUGUUGUAGCCUACCAUCAGGUUUCUUUCUCUCGUGCUAUGGGAAUAUGGUGCGUCUACAAUUGAGGGAGACUGUUGUUUAGACCCAGAGCAUCUUCCUUGAAUCGCUCGCCGAUAUCUGACUAGGUUGUUAUUAAUGCAUUACCCAAUCUUACGUUGAAGGCACUGGAUAGAGCCUACGGGACUAGAUGAGAAGUGGUGACAGAGUGGCAUUCGCGCAAGAUCUACAUGUACCUAUCCGUACAUAGUUCCGCCAAGAUUGAUGACUGUCGUGGAGUCACCAGAAUAGGCAUCGUCACAUGCUAUGGCUUUGGCGAACAAAGUUUGUGGAAUCCUAACGCUAGCACUGGCGCUAUUGAUUUUAGUUUGCGGGGCAGUCCUACUCGGGCUUGGACUACCCAACGACAAACUCAUCCAGGCUGGUAUAGGUGGAUUCCUACUUCUUGUAAGUCUCUUCGUGCUGGCAGGCGGAAUCACACUUAUCCGAUCAAGCAGACAAGGGCGUGGUGCACGGAGCGAAGCGAGUACGGCAUCGGGAAUGCGUGGACAACUUGAAGACACUAAUAGAAUUCAACAGGAGGGUGAAGUGGUCAGACCAAUUAUUGCUAGACCAGUCAGUACAGUCGUAGCGAAUCCAGUGGCAUCGCACACUACCUCUACAACAAGCAUUGCGCGGCCGGUAGCACAAGCUGCUGGCGGGACCAUGCAGCCACCAGUUGGCAGGCCAGUCGCCUCCCCUCUACAGGAACAUCCGGACAUGCACGACUCAAGCCACGACGAAGAUAUCUGCAUCGUGUUUCCUGUGAUUGUGGUAGAGAGAGGCGAGAGUCGAGAAGAUUGCCCACCCUCGUACGAUACGGCCAUGAGACGGACUGGAACUACACCCGUCUAACAGUCAUUAAUUUUAAAUAUUGUAGCGAGAAAGGAAAUUUUUCCAGUUUGUUGUAUGCAUGUAUAACAUAAAUUAUAGUCUGAUGCAUUCUUCAAUAUUGUACGGCAGAUGUUAUAGCUUUUCAAAGUAGGUUUUCAAAGAUAACCUUUAGUUUGAGUGAGACCAGCAUACUCCUGUUUCUUGCGGUACAAGCUGAUUUUUACAGGAUACUGAAGUAGUUUCAUUCUUUCAUGUGUGCACGGUUUUCUUCGCGAAACGUUCAAAACAAUUCUAUUAAAACAAAACUAACCGCUUUUCUUUAUCUUUUGUAUUGUAUUGUAUUGUAUUGUAUUUUAUUAUCUUACUUGGGCAUUCCCAACAGACCCUAAGGUCUUCUUACAGGGUGCCCAAGAUGAAUGAAAUUGUUAAGUUCCUGGCGAAA